GACGAACGCUGGCGGCGUGCCUAAUACAUGCAAGUAGAACGCUGAAGGAGGAGCUUGCUUCUCUGGAUGAGUUGCGAGCGGGUGAGUAACGCGUAGGUAACCUGCCUGGUAGCGGGGGAUAACUAUUGGAAACGAUAGCUAAUACCGCAUAAGAGUAGAUGUUGCAUGACAUUUGCUUAAAAGGUGCAAUUGCAUCACUACCAGAUGGACCUGCGUUGUAUUAGCUAGUUGGUGAGGUAACGGCUCACCAAGGCAACGAUACAUAGCCGACCUGAGAGGGUGAUCGGCCACACUGGGACUGAGACACGGCCCAGACUCCUACGGGAGGCAGCAGUAGGGAAUCUUCGGCAAUGGACGGAAGUCUGACCGAGCAACGCCGCGUGAGUGAAGAAGGGUUUCGGAUCGUAAAGCUCUGUUGUAAGAGAAGAACGAGUGUGAGAGUGGAAAGUUCACACUGUGACGGUAUCUUACCAGAAAGGGACGGCUAACUACGUG
rnacentral:rRNA from 1 species